rnacentral:rRNA from 2 species
CUGGUGUCAGCCGCCGCGGUAAUACCAGCACCCCGAGUGGUCGGGACGAUUAUUGGGCCUAAAGCAUCCGUAGCCGGCCUUACAAGUCCUCCGUUAAAUCCAGCUGCUUAACAGAUGGGCUGCGGAGGAUACUAUAAGACUAGGAGGCAGGAGAGGCAAGCGGUACUCAGUGGGUAGGGGUAAAACCCGUUGAUCCAUUGAAGACCACCAGUGGCGAAGGCGGCUUGCCAGAAUGCGCUCGACGGUGAGGGAUGAAAGCUGGGGGAGCAAACCGGAUUAGAUACCCGGGUAGUCCCAGCUGUAAACGAUGCAGACUCGGUGAUGGACUAGCUUUAUGCUGGUCCAGUGCCGCAGGGAAGCCGUUAAGUCUGCCGCCUGGGUAGUACGGUCGCAAGACUGAAACUUAAAG